rnacentral:rRNA from 1 species
GGGCCCGCACAAGCGGUGGAGCAUGUGGUUUAAUUCGAUGAUACGCGAGGAACCUUACCAGGGCUUAAAUGGAAAAUGACAGGGGCAGAGACGCCCCCUUCUUCGGACUCAUUACAAGGUGCUGCAUGGUUGUCGUCAGCUCGUGCCGUGAGGUGUCAGGUUAAGUCCUAUAACGAGCGCAACCCCUGUUGUUAGUUGCCAGCGAGUAAUGUCGGGAACUCUAGCAAGACUGCCAGUGCAAACUGUGAGGAAGGUGGGGAUGACGUCAAGUCAUCACGGCCCUUACAUCCUGGCCACACACGUGCUACAAUGGUAGUGACAGAGGCAGCCACUGGGUGACCAGGAGCGAA